AGAAGUUUCAAAUGACCCUCCAACACUAUGUAGACUGAGGAGCCUCUGACCAACUCAGCUUCUGAAAAAAAUCCAAACCUGUCCCUGCAGUUUCGGCUGUGCUGUUUCCGGAGUCAAGUAUUGAGGUUGAAGGAGGCUGAUUAGGCCUGGUCUGUGGCAGAAUGGUGCCCAAGCAGGGACCUCUGGACAGGACAGAUGGCAAAUUUGGACACAUUUACAGGAUGACAUGUCAUGCAAUAUUAAAAUGAAAAGUGACUUUGUGUGCUGGUAUAAGAAGAUCUUGAAGAUAGAGAUGACAGACCACCUGGACAAUGCUUCCUGAUCGUUUUUGUUAAAGUCUGGGAUGUCUUUGGCAUCUUCAUCUGCAUACCUUCUUUUGCUGCAGGAACACUCUGCUUGGACAGAUGGCAUAUUUGGACACAUUCACAGGAUGACAUGUCAUGCAAUAUUAAAAUGAAAAGUGACUCUAUGUGCUGGUCUAAGAAGAUCUUGAAGAUAGAGAUGACAGACCACCUGGACAAUGCUUCAUGAUCGUUUUUGUUAAAGGAGUCACUGCCUGUGUUGAAGUGGGCUCUGCAGUGAAAUAGCUGUUGGGAAGUUACCCAAGCUCCUCUGCCUGGAGUCAUGGCCUCAGCCAUGGCCUUGUGGAUAUUUUCUAGCUCACAUAAACAAUCCUGAGAGAACAUUCGUGGUCGUAACAGCAAGAAAGUUUAUGGGAAAAGAGGACACUGUGACUGUUGGUUCCAGGAGCUGAAGAUUGCCACCUGACCUUCAGAGAGCCCCCAGUCUCUCCCACUCCCCACCCCCCAUCCCUUGGAGCCUCCUCUUGCUUAUGCUUAUAUUGCCACUCCUGAAUAAAGUUUUCAGAGCUUGA
rnacentral:lncRNA from 1 species